rnacentral:lncRNA from 1 species
CCUGAAGCAUUUAUGUUCGGGAUUGUAGGGAAAGAUCUGCCCAAAAAGCUGAAAAACAUAUUUAUGUAUGCGACAACGGCCGCCAGAGUUUUAAUAGCAAAGGAUGGAAGACUGAAGAAACCCCAACUAAAGAAUCAUGGCAAGAAAAAUUGAUGGACUAUGCAGAACUGGCAAAACUGACAUAUAAGCUACGGGACAAGGAUAACUGUGACUUUAAAGAUGAAUGGGAACCCUUUACAAAGUAUUUGAAGAUGCAACAAAGCGAAUUGGACUCCUUGGCUGGCUUUGAAUAAACAUUCACAAACUUGAUAAUAAUCACCUAAAUAGUUUGAGGAUCUAUACAACUCUGUAACAUGCAGAAAACAGCAUUCUCAGAGAAACCAAAGACUGGAAAAGAGGGAAGCCGGGGGGGGGGGUUGUCUGGGGGGGGAGGGAGGAAAAAUGGGGGGGGAAUAAGGAUGAUAUGUUUCUGGAUAAUAUGUUUUGUUUUAAUUUUGAAUAAAAAAAUAUUUUAAAAAAGGGUUGUGGAAGAUCAAAAUGGUUGGCCUCCUUUUGCUGCCUUGAUGUCUUCCUGCUAUUCUGUUAUGCCCUGAAUGAUCCCAUUGGGAAAUAAUCUUUCCCCCAUCCUCUCCCUCUCUCUUCCAUGGAUGAAUAGCUCUGCCCUGCUGCUGUUGCCAUAACAGAUUCUGUCUUUCAAGACGCUCUGCUAUUCCCCUUCUUUUCAGGGUAAAAUGAAGGUGAUUCACACACACACACCCCCCAUGGUCCUCAAACGCACCCGCGCUCAGUGUUAAUUCAAGUCAGCAUCCCGUAGUGGGAGCCCAUAGAGUUGGGGUCAUAUGAGCCUGUUUCCUGCUGUCACCACGGUGACCUCCAAGAUUCUAACUGGCCAGAGGAUGUUAUAAUUCAAAAGGUGGUGCAGAGUGAUGGGCAGUUGGCUUAAACAGAAGGUGCCAGGACUGAAAAGACGUCCGUUAGGGGAAGAGCAGCUGAAGUGAUGACAAGUUUGAGUCACAACAAGCCCUACGAUGCCCUGGUUGGUAGAUAAAGGUAAAGGGACCCCUGACCAUUAGGUCCAGUCGUGGCCGACUCUGGGGUUGCGGCGCUCAUCUCGCUUUACUGGCCAAGGGAGCCGGCGUACAGCUUCUGGGUCAUGUGGCCAGCAUGACUAAGCCGCUUCUGGCGAACCAGAGCAGCGCACAGAAACGCCGUUUACCUUCCCGCUGGAGCGGUACCUAUUUAUCUACUUGCACUUUGAAGUGCUUUCAAACUGCUAGGUGAGCAGGAGCUGGGACUGAACAAUGGGAGCUCACCCCGUCACGGGGAUUCGAACCGCCGACCUUCUGAUCGGCAAUCCCUAGGCUCUGUGGUUUAGACCACAGCACCACCCACAUCCCUUCAGAGAUAAUUAUGUGGUGCCCCCCCAAAAAAUUUGACCAGCUUAAUCUGGCUACCUAGUGAAGUCACAGGCACCGGCUAAAUCUUACGCCUAUUAAGCUCACCUGUUUCUAAAAUUCGGUGAGAUAGGGGUUACAACAGCAACAAUGGUCAUCAUUCAUCAAAAGAACAAUUGCUAUUUCUGGCUCUCACAUGAGAGCAGAAUCUAACCAAACUGCUUUUGGUUCUGGAUCAAUGUGGAUCAUUUAUGGAUAUUUACUUAUUUAUCUACUACUUUUCCUCCCAAUGUUUUGUUUUGUUGAUCCCUGGAAACUCUUGGUACAUAGGCUGCUUUGGACAAGUGCAAUGUACAUUAUUCUACAAAAUGCAAUAUAGAUUGACCAUAGUACUGAAAAUAAAAAUGUGAUUUUGAAGGAGCCUCAGACUUCAUCGGCACAUCUAGUGAAAAAUAUAUUCAAGACUAAGUCCCAUUGAAGGCCAUUGAAUGGGCCUUAGUAAUGUCUUAUCUAAACCUCAUGGGGGGCACUGGGACCUUGACUAAUUGGGGUGGCUUUUUAAGGGAAUCCCCCUUUCUCCCUUUUCUCUUGCUGUCUAUCACAGCAUCCACUUGCAUCUAUGUUACCGUCUCUAAGUUGUCCAAUGAUUUCAUUGAUUCCCCAGCUAUAAAUCCUUAACUUCUCAGCUGGCUUCAUGGGACAAUGAAGCAGAACAUGUGGACAUCUCAAUGGCACAAUUUCCUACCUGCCAUGUUGAUAGGAAUGCUGAAAUAACACAAAUAGGCUAAGCCGAGAGCACUCCUCGCUUACUGAUCGAGCGUCCGGUAAGAAGUGGACAACGGAAUAGCGAUGAUGCAAAGUUGUUUCUUGCUGUCUCUAUGGUAACCCUGCAGAGUGUGAGGGAGGGGCUAGGAGAAUAUUGGAAUCAGAAUCAGAUAGUGUCAACAUGGAAGGUGGAAGAGCAGCCCAGGGGUGAGAAAAGGGUGAUCCGUUCACCUUUCCUGGUUGACCACUGAUCUUCACACCCUCCAACAACUCUCUCAUGAAAAUAGGAACACUCUAUUCUAUUAUGACUAUGACUAUGAUUAUUUGUACCCCACCCAUCUGACUGGGUUGCUCCAGCCACUCUGGGCGGCUUCCAACAUAUAUAAAAACAUAAUAAAACAUUGAACAUUAAAAAAAACUUCCCCUAUACAAGGCUGCCUUUCGGUGUCUUCUAAAGGUUGUAUAGUUACUUAUCUCCUUGGCUUCGGGGUCGCAUAACUCCAUACCUGCUCCAACAUUCCUCCGAGAAAAAAUGAGGACGUCCUAAGGCAAAGCGGGACAUUCUGGGAUAAAAUCAGAAACUGGGACGGCUUCUGUAAAUCCAGGACUGUCCCUGGAAAAUAGGGGCACUUAGAGGGGCUGCCAUUUUCUGCCUGAGGCAGCAAAAUGUCUCAGACUAGCCCCAAAGAGGGGUGCUAGGCCAUAAAAUCAGCAUGGAAGCCAGAUAGCUUUCUGUGCAGCAGAUAAUAUAUACACCCAGAAAGAUCCUUGUGCUGAUUCUGUAGUCAUGAGCAUGACUAGGUGCUCAUGAAAGUGGCUUUCAGACUGUCCACUCCUCGAAGCAAUGACAUUCAGAGCAACUGAACAGGUCUAAGUGGC